UACGCAGGCGGUUUGUUAAGCGAGAUGUGAAAGCCCCGGGCUCAACCUGGGAACUGCAUUUCGAACUGGCAAACUAGAGUGUGAUAGAGGGUGGUAGAAUUUCAGGUGUAGCGGUGAAAUGCGUAGAGAUCUGAAGGAAUACCGAUGGCGAAGGCAGCCACCUGGGUCAACACUGACGCUCAUGUACGAAAGCGUGGGGAGCAAACGGGAUUAGAUACCCCGGUAGUCCACGCCGUAAACGAUGUCUACUAGAAGCUCGGAACCUCGGUUCUGUUUUUCAAAGCUAACGCAUUAAGUAGACCGCCUGGGGAGUACGGCCGCAAGGUUAAAACUCAAAUGAAUUGACGGGGGCCCGCACAAGCGGUGGAGCAUGUGGUUUAAUUCGAUGCAACGCGAAGAACCUUACCUACACUUGACAUACAGAGAACUUUCUAGAGAUAGAUUGGUGCCUUCGGGAACUCUGAUACAGGUGCUGCAUGGCUGUCGUCAGCUCGUGUUGUGAGAUGUUGGGUUAAGUCCCCGCAACGAGCGC
rnacentral:rRNA from 1 species